rnacentral:rRNA from 1 species
UACGUAGGGUGCAAGCGUUGUCCGGAAUUAUUGGGCGUAAAGAGCUCGUAGGCGGUCUGUCGCGUCUGCUGUGAAAACUCAGGGCUUAACCCUGAGCUUGCAGUGGGUACGGGGCAGACUAGAGUGCGGUAGGGGGAGACUGGAAUUCCUGGUGUAGCGGUGAAAUGCGCAGAUAUCAGGAGGAACACCGGGUGGCGAAGGCGGGUCUCUGGGCCGAUACUGACGCUGGAGGAGCGGAAAGCGUGGGGAGCGAACAGG